UAUUGAUUAUUCUGAUCCCUGAGCUUGAAAUAUUUCUCCUUUUAUUUAUGUCACUUAUGAUUUAUUUUAGCAGUGUUUUGUAGUUCUCCUUGUAGAUAUCUUUUACCUCCUUGGCUAGAUGUAUUCCAAGUAUUUUAUUUUUUAUACAGUCAACCUACAGAAUGAGAGAGAAUAUUUACAAACUACAUAGCCAGAAAAGGUCUAAUAUUCAGAAUCUAUAAGAAACUUAAACAAUUCAUUAUGCAGAAAACAAAUAACUUCAUUUAAAAGUACGCAAAAAAAUGAACAAACACUUCUCAAAAGAAAUCAUACAAGCAGCCAACAAGCAUAUGAAAAAAGGCUCCACAUCACUAAUCAUAAGAAAAAUGCAAAGCAAAACUACCAUGAGAUGCCAUCUCACACCUGUCAGAAUGGCUACUACCAAAAAGUCAAAAAACAACAGAUGCUGGUGAAGCUGCAGAGAAAAGGGAAUGCUUAUAACUGUUGGUGGGAAUGUACCUUAGUUCAAUCACUGUGGAAAGCAGUUUGAAGAUUUCUCAAAGAACUUGAAACAGAACUACCAUUCAACACAGCAGUCCUGCUGUUGGCUAUAUACUGAAAUGAAAGUAAAUCAUUCCACCAAAAAGACACAUACAGUAACAUGUUCAUUGCAUCACCAUUUAUAAUAGCAAAGACAUGGAAUGCAAUCAAGAUAGGCGCCCAGCAGUGGUGGACUGGAUGAAGAACAUGUGGUACAGGCCGGGAGCGGUGGCUCACGCCUGUAAUCCCAGCACUUUGGGAGGCUGAGGCGGGCGGAUCACGAGAUUAGGAGAUCGAGACCAUCCUGGCUAACACAGUGAAACACCGUCUCUACUAAAAAUACAAAAAAUUAGCCGGGCAUGGUGGCAGGCACCUGUAGUCCCAGCUACUAGGGAGGCUGAGGCAGGAGAAUGGCGUGAACCUGGGAGGCACCACUGCACUCCAGCCUGGGCGAUAGAGCGAGACUCUGUCUCAAAAAAAAAAAAAAAGAAAAAGAAAAAGAGCAUGUGGUACAUAUACAGCAUGGAAUACUAUGCAGCCAUUAAAAAAAUUAAAAUGAUAUCUUUGCAGCAGCAUGGAUGCAGCUGGAGGCCAUUAUCCAGAACAAAUUAACAUGUGAACAGAAAACCACUUAUAAGUGAAACAUUCAGACAGCUAAACAUUUACUACUCAGGAACAUAAAGAUGACAAUAAUGGACACUAGAGAUUACUAGAGUGAAGAAGUAGGUGGGGCGGGGUUUGAAAAGCUAACUAUUGGGUACUAUGCUUAGUACGUUGGUGACAGUAUCAAUUUUAUCCCUAACCCCAGCAUCAUGCAAUAUACCCAGGUAACAAACCUGUACAUGAGCCCCCUGAAUAUAAAAUAAAUAAAUAAGUAAACAAAAAUAAAUACAAAAACUAAGUGCAAAAAAAGAAAAUCAUAGAAGUACUAGAAGGAAACAUGUAAAUUCCUUUAUAUUCUCAAGAUGGGAACAUCUUUCUAUUGUUCAAAAUCAGAAACAAAAAAGAAAUACAAGUUCAACUACCUUAAAAAAUUUCUACAUGCCAGAAAACAACUCAGCAACAAAAACAAACAAACUCAAAAGAUAAAUGAUAAACUGGGAGGAAAUACAUGCAAAAAGCAUCAUAAAAGGGCUAAUAUUGUUAAUAAAUAGACAACAUUUAAAAAUUG
rnacentral:lncRNA from 1 species